CCGAUUCUACUAGUGCAGCUACACUGCUUGCCCCAGGGAUCCCCUGUCUUCCAGGUUCUGACUACAGAUAUUAUUCAUAUUUCAAUGACUCUUGGGAAGCUCUUCACCAGAGGAUAUUGUGACAUCAUAUCCCAAUGCCUCUUUUCUUGUGAAUAACUAGCUCUGCUAAGAAUAAGGCAUCCUGAAGAUAGAUACUAUGGUUGGAAGAGGAAACUGGGGGACCCUGGAUCUAGGAACUUGACUCAGCUGAACAGAUCACUCACGAUGGCCUCUGCCUGAUGGGAUCUAUCCCAAAGCCCACCGACACGGAAGAGAAGCACAAAGGACAAGAAGUGACCCCAGGUGCCUUGCUUCCACUUUAUCCAUAUGCAUCUGCCAACAGUUAUGUAAGCAUAAAGGAAGCAUGAAGAAAAGGCGCCAUUUGAUCACUCAAGAUUCAUAUACUUCCAAAAUGACAUCACAAGCUUGGUGUCUGUAUCUUCACUGUGUCUAGUGUAUCUGAAUGUGCCUCCCCUUGUGUAUGCUCAGCACAGUGUUCUCUGUCUAUAAGUAAUAAAUAGUCAAUGACUAUUA